CCUACGGGAGGCAGCAGUGAGGAAUAUUGGUCAAUGGGCUUACGCCUGAACCAGCCAAGUCGCGUGAGGGAAGACUGCCCUAUGGGUUGUAAACCUCUUUUGUCAGGGAGCAACGCCGGCUACGUGUAGCCGUACUGAGAGUCCCUGAAGAAAAAGCAUCGGCUAACUCCGUGCCAGCAGCCGCGGUAAUACGGAGGAUGCGAGCGUUAUCCGGAUUUAUUGGGUUUAAAGGGUGCGUAGGCGGAAUGCCAAGUCAGCGGUAAAAUCGCGGGGCUCAACCUCGCUCCGCCGUUGAAACUGGCGUUCUUGAGUGGGCGAGAAGUAUGCGGAAUGCGUGGUGUAGCGGUGAAAUGCAUAGAUAUCACGCAGAACUCCGAUUGCGAAGGCAGCAUACCGGCGCCCAACUGACGCUGAAGCACGAAAGCGUGGGUAUCGAACAGGAUUAGAUACCCCAGUAGUC
rnacentral:rRNA from 1 species